GGAGAGGUGGCAGAGCGGUUGAAUGCGGCGGUCUUGAAAACCGCUUUACUCGAAAGGGUAACGGGGGUUCGAAUCCCUCCCUCUCCG
rnacentral:tRNA from 1 species